AGGCGGAGACACAAGGCUCCGUUCCACUGGGCACGCCAGCGGGUAGGGGUGGGGGCGGGGAGGUGCGCGCGCAGCGUGGGAGGAGGCCAACUCUCGGGGCGCUCCCUAGCCCUGGGUGGGUGGAGCGGGGGAAGCGGAGUACGUUGGACCCGGCUCCGCCCUACCCCACGGGGCCGCCUGGAGAGGUGCUGGGAGCUGGGUGGAGCUUAGAGGAAUUAAACUUUGGCCCUGCGCCUCGUCCAGCCUAGGUUCCACCCUUUUCUGGGAACGUGAGUAUCAACCAAGAAUGAAUCUCGCUGUGUUGUCCAGGCUGGAGUGCAGUGGCACCAUCUCGGCUCACUGCAACCUCUGGCUCCCAGGUUCAAGCGAUUCUCCUGCCUCAGCCCCCUGAGUAGCUGGGAUUACAGGCACGCGCCACCACUCCCAGAUCUUCACUUCAGGUCAGCUCCAAGGAGGCUAUCCUUGCCCAUCUUCCUAAAAUAGAGCUCUCAAAACCUGGCUGUUUUCCUUCAGAGCACUGGCCUCCAAUUGCUCCGGUAGAUUGCAAAUGACCUGCUUUCUUUCUGUUCCCGGGCGUUUGGACCCCUGUCUUGGACCGCUGUCGGAUAGUAAAUCCCAAGUAAGGUACCUGCCGUCGGCAGAUUUGAGCUUUCUUCUUGGACACCUAAUACCCAGAGUCCUCCAGGCUCCGGUAGAUUGCAAAUGACCUGCUUUCUUUCUGUUCCCGGGCGGCAUCGGACCCGUCGGAGAGUAAAUCCCAAGUAAGGUACCUGCCGUUGGCAGAUUUGAGCUUUCUUCUUGGACACCUAAUACCCACAGUCCUCCAGGUGAGUCCUAAGUAUCUUAGGAUCCGCGAUGGGGGUCCUAAGGCAGGGGGGGAAGAGGGGAUGGCUGUCACCCAACCCAAAAUGGGCGGCCUUUAUGUUCAGGUUUUGCCCAAGAGUCAGCUUAUUUGCUUCUUGUACUAUCAGGGCAGUUGAUGCCACGGCCCUCAAACAGGGGGGCCAUCCUUUAGAAACCCUCUCUAGUUGUUUAGAGACGUAGGACAUUGGCCUCAUCCAGGGCCCCAGAGUUUCGGUUAAAAGUCCAGCUGCCAUCUUUUCUCUAUCUGACGCGUUCAACGGAAAAGGCUUUGUCAGAUCGGGUAGCCCCAGGGCUGGGGCUGCCAGAAGUUUUUCCUUUAACUCAUGAAAGACUUGCUGUUGUUGGGAUCCCUAUUCCAAAGGUUCCCGGUCCCCGCCCCCUUUGUGACCUCAUACAAAGGCUUGGCUAACACUGCAAAGUUUGGGAUGCACAGUCUAUAAAACCCCACAGCCCCUGAGAAUUCCCUCACCUGCCUUCUGCCCUUAGGCUCCGGUAGAUUGCAAAUGACCUGCUUUCUUUCUGUUCCCGGGCUGCGUUCGGACCCCUGUCGGAUAGUAACUCCCAAGUAAGGUACCUGCCGUCGGCAGAUUGGAGCUUUCUUCUUGGAGACCUAAUACCCACAGUCCUCCAGAAAAACAAACAAAGACAUGGAUUUACUGUGCAUAUUAGCAGAUCCAUACUGGAAAAUGCAUGGAGGUUUCAUAUACACCACUUACAGGUUUCCAAAGCCACAAUUUCCUUCAUAUGUUCAAACUCUUCAGGAUGCAGAAAGGCAGUGAACUCCUCCGGAGUAGCUGUCAGGUCACCAUUGAGGUCUGCAGCUUUGAAUCUUCUCUCAUCACGUGGCAGCAUCUUUUUAAAGGUGUGAUGAUCUGAAGAAUCAUGAAACUCUGCGGGGUUUCCUAGGUUUUCAGCUCCUCAGUAGUGACAAAGCCAUACCCAUCAUUGUCGAUUCGAUCAACAAUCUUCCCUAGCCUCUCCUUGCUCUCGUCCGGGGUGAGCUCGUCGAAGUUCUUGGAGUCCUCCUUGCCCAGGAAGGCCUCGUGGUCGUACUGGAAGCUCUGGUUGUCCUCAGGGGGCCGCUCGCCCAGCUCCGAGUCGGGCCGCACCACGCGCUCUUUGCGCACCGUGGGCUUGGCCCGCAGAACCCGCGGCGCCAGCACCAGCGCCAGCAGCAGCCCCAGGGCUAACCCCAGGCGGCCACCGCGCGCCAUCGUCCCGAGGAGAGGGCGGCCGGGAGGGAGACGCUGAGCGAGCGACAACAGCGGCAGCUCGGGAAUGGGGGCUCGGAGCGCGGCGGCCAAGUUUUAUGUUAUGUAUAUUUUACAAGUAAAAAAAUUUUUUCACCUCAGCCUGA
rnacentral:lncRNA from 1 species